rnacentral:rRNA from 1 species
AGUGAACGCUGGCGGUAGGCCUAACACAUGCAAGUCGAACGGCAGCACAGUAAGAGCUUGCUCUUACGGGUGGCGAGUGUCGGACGGGUGAGGAAUACAUCGGAAUCUACUUUUUCGUGGGGGCUAACGUAGGGAAACUUACGCUAAUACCGCAUACGACCUACGGGUGAAAGCAGGGGAUCUUCUGACCUUGCGCGAUUGAAUGAGCCGAUGUCGGAUUAGCUAGUUGGCGGGGUAAAGGCCCACCAAGGCGACGAUCCGUAGCUGGUCUGAGAGGAUGAUCAGCCACACUGGAACUGAGACACGGUCCAGACUCCUACGGGAGGCAGCAGUGGGGAAUAUUGGACAAUGGGCGCAAGCCUGAUACAGCCAUACCGCGUGGGUGAAGAAGGCCUUCGGGUUGUAAAGCCCUGUUGUUGGGAAAGAAAAGCAGCAGGUUAAUACCCCGCUGUUCUGACGGUACCCAAAGAAUAAGCACCGGCUAACUUCGUG